UACAGAGGGGGCAAGCGUUAUUCGGAAUUAUUGGGCGUAAAGGGCGCGUAGGCGGCCUGGCAAGUGGAAGGUGAAAUCCCUCGGCUUAACCGAGGAACUGCCCCUCCAAACUGCUUGGCUUGAGACCGGGAGAGGUGAGUGGAAUUCCCAGUGUAGCGGUGAAAUGCGUAGAUAUUGGGAGGAACACCAGUGGCGAAGGCGGCUCACUGGACCGGUACUGACGCUGAGGCGCGAAAGCGUGGGGAGCAAACGGG
rnacentral:rRNA from 1 species